rnacentral:rRNA from 2 species
GAUGAACGCUAGCGGCAGGCUUAAUACAUGCAAGUCAAGGGGGUAGCAAUACAACCGGCGCACGGGUGAGUAACGCGUACACAACAUGCCAUAUACUGGGGUAUAGCUUUGGGAAACUGAAGGUAAUCCCCCAUAGUAUUUCGGUUAGGCAUCUAACUGGAAUUAAAGUUUCGACGGUAUAUGAUUGGUGUGCGUUCCAUUAGCUAGUUGGUAGGGUAACGGCCUACCAAGGCGACGAUGGGUAGCUGGCGUGAGAGCGCGACCAGCCACACUGGAACUGAGACACGGUCCAGACUCCUACGGGAGGCAGCAGUAGGGAAUAUUGGACAAUGGGCGAAAGCCUGAUCCAGCCAUGCCGCGUGAUAGAUGAAGGCCCUCUGGGUUGUAAAUAUCUUUUAUCUGGGAAGAAACUCCUCUAUUCUUAGAGGCCUGACGGUACCAGAGGAAUAAGCACCGGCUAACUCCGUG